rnacentral:miRNA from 1 species
UGUGGGCGCUGCGGGGCGGCGUGCAGGGAGGCUGAGAUUGCAGGCGCCCACAUCCCCCGG